rnacentral:snRNA from 1 species
GCUCCUUCUUCUUGAGAC